rnacentral:rRNA from 1 species
GACGAACGCUGGCGGCGUGCUUAACACAUGCAAGUCGAACGGUAAGGCCGUUCGGGGUACACGAGUGGCGAACGGGUGAGUAACACGUGGGUGCUCUGCCCUGCACUUCGGGAGAAGCCUGGGAAAAUGGGUCUAGUACCUGAUAGGACUCAGGACUGCAGGGUCUGGGGGGGACAGCUUUUGCGGAGUGGGAUGGGUCCGCGGCCUAUCAGCUUGUUGGUGGGGUGAUGGAGUACCAAGGCGACGACGGGUUGCCGGCCUGAGAGGGUGACCGGCCACACUGGGACUGAGAUACGGCCCAGACUCCUACGGGAGGCAGCAGUGGGGAAUACUGCACAAUGGGCGCAAGCCUGAUGCAGCGACGCCGCGUGAGGGAUGACGGCCUUCGGGUUGUAAACCUCUUUCAGCACCGACGAAGCGAAAGUGACGGUACCUGCAGAAGAAGCACCGGCUAACUACGUGCCAGCCGCCGCAGUAA